rnacentral:rRNA from 1 species
AUUGAACGCUGGCGGCAGGCCUAACACAUGCAAGUCGAGCGAGCGGCGGACGGGUGAGUAAUGUGUGGGAUACUCCUUGAUGGAGGGGGAUAACUACUGGAAACGGUAGCUACUACCGCAUACCAUCAGAUGUUCCCAGAUGGGAUUAGCUAGUAGGUGGGGUACCGCCUCACCUAGGCGACGAUCCCUAGCUGGUCUGAGAGGAUGACCAGCGACACUGGGACUGAGACACGGUCCAGACUCCUACGGGAGGCAGCAGUGGGGAAUAUUGCGCAAUGGGCGCAAGCCUGAUGCAGCCAUGCCGCGUGUGUGAAGAAGGCCUUCGGGUUGUAAAGCACUUUCAGCGGGGAGGCGUUACCCGCAGAAGAAGCACCGGCUAACUCCGUGCCAGCAGCCGCGGUAAUUC